rfam:Gossypium raimondii Chr07_contig_1440, whole genome shotgun sequence.
AAUGUUUGAGUUCAAUUGGUAGGAUGUGUGGUUUUUAACUACGUUUCUUGGGUUUGAUUCCUACAAAAAUAA